UGGGGAAUAUUGGACAAUGGGCGCAAGCCUGAUCCAGCCAUGCCGCGUGUGUGAAGAAGGCCUUCGGGUUGUAAAGCACUUUUGUCCGGAAAGAAAAGCCUGGGGCUAAUACCCUCGGGUUAUGACGGUACCGGAAGAAUAAGCACCGGCUAACUUCGUGCCAGCAGCCGCGGUAAUACGAAGGGUGCAAGCGUUACUCGGAAUUACUGGGCGUAAAGCGUGCGUAGGUGGUUUGUUAAGUCUGAUGUGAAAGCCCUGGGCUCAACCUGGGAACUGCAUUGGAUACUGGCUUACUAGAGUGCGGUAGAGGGGUGUGGAAUUCCCGGUGUAGCAGUGAAAUGCGUAGAUAUCGGGAGGAACAUCUGUGGCGAAGGCGACACCCUGGACCAGCACUGACACUGAGGCACGAAAGCGUGGGGAGCAAACA
rnacentral:rRNA from 1 species